rnacentral:rRNA from 1 species
AUGGGUGACGCGGAGGGACAUUGCUGGAACGCGCCCCGGCGCACCCAGAAACCCUUUGUGAACUUAUACCUUACUGUUGCCUCGGCGCAGGCCGGCCCCCCCCCGCGGGGGCCCCUCGUUUCCUGACGAGGAGCAGGCUCGCCGGCGGCCAAGUUAACUCUUGUUUUUAUUGUGAAACUCUGAGGAUAAAACAUAAAUGAAUCAAAACUUUCAACAACGGAUCUCUUGGUUCUGGCAUCGAUGAAAAACGCAGCGAAAUGCGAUAAGUAAUGUGAAUUGCAAAAUUCAGUGAAUCAUCGAAUCUUUGAACGCACAUUGCGCCCUCUGGUAUUCCGGAGGGCAUGCCUGUUCGAGCGUCAUUUCAACCCUCAAGCCUGGCUUGGUGAUGGGGCACUGCCUUUUUACACAAGGGCAGGCCCUGAAAUUCAGUGGCGAGCUCGCCAGGACUCCGAGCGCAGUAGUUAAACCCUCGCUCUGGAAGGACUGGCGGUGCCCUGCCGUUAAACCCCCAACUCUUGAAAAUUUGACCUCGGAUCAGGUAGGAAUACCCGCUGAACUUAGAAUAUCAAAAAGUGGGGGGGAAAA